GAUCAUUAAAGAGUAAGGGUGCUCAGCGCCCGACCUCCAACCCUUUGUUGUUAAAACUACCUUGUUGCUUUGGCGGGACCGCUCGGUCUCGAGCCGCUGGGGAUUCGUCCCAGGCGAGCGCCCGCCAGAGUUAAACCAAACUCUUGUUAUUAAACCGGUCGUCUGAGUUAAAAUUUUGAAUAAAUCAAAACUUUCAACAACGGAUCUCUUGGUUCUCGCAUCGAUGAAGAACGCAGCGAAAUGCGAUAAGUAAUGUGAAUUGCAGAAUUCAGUGAAUCAUCGAAUCUUUGAACGCACAUUGCGCCCCUUGGUAUUCCGAGGGGCAUGCCUGUUCGAGCGUCAUUACACCACUCAAGCUAUGCUUGGUAUUGGGUGCCGUCCUUAGUUGGGCGCGCCUUAAAGACCUCGGCGAGGCCUCACCGGCUUUAGGCGUAGUAGAAUUUAUUCGAACGUCUGUCAAAGGAGAGGACUUCUGCCGACUGAAACCUUUUAUUUUUCUAGGUUGACCUCGGAUCAGGUAGGGAUACCCGCUGAACUUAAGCAUAUCAAUAAGGCGGAGGAA
rnacentral:rRNA from 1 species